CACUCAGCUUUCUGAAAUGGUGUCCCACCACAAGGACUGGAGAAGGUGCCCAUCGCUAGUUGCUUCCUGGAGGAAUUUCCCAAAAUAAAAGUGCCUAUCCACAAAUCCUUCUCCUGAGGCUGCUUUUUUGGAGAGUUCAAGUUAAGAAAGAUUUCUAUUGGAUCAAUAUAUGUUUGUAUGGAUUUUAAUCCCUAUUGCUGGUGCACUUCACUUGGGCUUGGAAACUUUUUUCCCAUUUUCGUAGUAAUGAUCCAUAAAUACAUUAAAGUGAAUAGUAAACCUCAGGUUCUCCUCCUGCCUUUUGCUAAGUAUAUGUCUUGAUGACAAGCCUUCUGCUAAUGAGCUGUGUUUCUGGACCGAUCAUGGUAGAAGUCAAUUGAAGUGUCCCUCACUUGGGGUUUCUUAAGGCUGCACUGAUGAGGAAACUGAAACAGAAAAUCCAGAGUAAAUUCCACCAGGCCACACAGCAAGGUCUGAUAGAGCCAGGAGAGACUUUAUGAAAUCCAGACUCUCACACUAAUGCUCUAUCAGCUAGACCUCCAUGUGAGUCUCCCCAAUGUAGGUAGGAAGCACUUUCCCUAAAAUGCUCAUAAAGCAAAUCAGAGCAAUGCUUCAUUUCAUGUGAUUUCUAAUUUGAAAUGCAAACAAUUGCCAAUUUGUUUGACUUGUAUUUAUAAUUAUUUCCUUGUGAAUUAC
rnacentral:lncRNA from 1 species